GCUGAGUAGGGGGCAGGAGACGGGGGAGUCCGUUGGGGGCGAGGGGUGUCCUGGUGUACUGGGCGGAAAGUGGGCGUAGGCGGAUUGUUAAGUUGUGUGGGAAAUACUCGGGCUGAACCUGAGUGCUGCAUUUCAAACUGGAAGUCGAGAGUGCAGUAGAGGGGUAGGGAAUUCCUAGUGUAGCGGUGAAAUGCGUAGAGAUGAGGAAGAACACCAGUGGCGAAGGCGCUCCUCUGGACUGUAACUGACGCUGAGGCUCGAAAGCGUGGGGAGCAAACAGGAUUAGAUACCCUUGUAGUC
rnacentral:rRNA from 1 species